GCACGUGAUGGGCGGGGCCGUGUGAGGCCCCGCCCACCGUUCCGGCCCCCGCCUCCCUGCGGUCUUAGGGGCCCCGGGAGGUAUCUUACCAAGAUGCUUCCCCUCUGUCGGGGCUGCGUUCGCCCGGUCUUCUCGACCAGCAAUGGGAUCAAAGCCCAUCAAGCCAACUUCGCGAGGCCUGCGCGCUCUCCUCCUUUUGGAGUAGGCUUGUCGGAUGAAAUGCAGGACGCUCACUUAAAUUUGAUUUCAGAUAAACUCGCUCUUAACAGGCAAAAGGCCCCAGUGAGGAAAGCAUCCCGUGAUGGAAAACAAAACUACCCCCUCAAGCAAGAAGGACCACCCUGAGCCAGCAAGACCCGUCCUGCCUGACCCUAAGACAAUCGUGACCUGAUCUUCAGUGCCCACUUGCACGUACCCACCGACCUUUGUCCCACAUUUUCCUUACAUUAAACCUGGAAGUGCUUUUGGCACUUGGGAGACAGUCUUUGAGAUGUUACACGGCUCUCUUCUCCGUGUUGUUCUCGCAGAAAUAAAUCCCUUUCUUGUUUCA